UGUUUGAACACUAAGGAAUUUGAGGU
rnacentral:piRNA from 1 species